UUUUGACCUCAAAUCAGAUAGACUACCCGCUGAACUUAA
rnacentral:rRNA from 1 species